rnacentral:rRNA from 1 species
AACCUACGGGACGCAGCAGUGAGGACUUUUGGUGUUUGUGCGGAAGCCUGCACCAGCCAAGUCGCGUGAGGGAAUAAGGCCCUACGGGUCGUAAACCUCUUUUGCCGGGGAGCAAGGGCGGGGACGUGUCCCGGCCCGGAGAGUACCCGGAGAAAAAGCAUCGGCUAACUCCGUGCCAGCAGCCGCGGUAAUACGGAGGAUGCGAGCGUUAUCCGGAUUUAUUGGGUUUAAAGGGUGCGUAGGCGGGCUUUUAAGUCAGCGGUAAAAAUUCGGGGCUCAACCCCGUCCGGUCGUUGAAACUGGGG